AUUGAACGCUGGCGGCAGGCCUAACACAUGCAAGUCGAGCGAGCGGCGGACGGGUGAGUAAUGUAUGGGGACUGCCCGAUAGAGGGGGAUAACUACUGGAAACGGUGGCUAAUACCGCAUACUAUCGGAUAACCCAUAUGGGAUUAGCUAGUAGGUGGGGUAAAGGCUCACCUAGGCGACGAUCUCUAGCUGGUCUGAGAGGAGGAUCAGACAAACGGGUACUGAGACACGGCCCAGAUGCAGAGGGAGGCAUCAGUGGGGAAUAGUGCACAAUGGGCGCAAGCCUGAUGCAGCCAUGCCGCGUGUAUGAAGAAGGCCUUAGGGUUGUAAAGUACUUGCAGCGGGGAGGCGUUACCCGCAGAAGAAGCACCGGCUAACUCCGUGCCAGCAGCCGCGGUAAUAC
rnacentral:rRNA from 1 species